CUGAGAUCCAAAAGCACAGAGCAGAAAUGAAAGGGGUGGGGAGAUAGGGGCUGAGGGACCAGGAAACGUGUGUCAGUACUUGCAGAUUGACUGGGCAAAGGGAAGCAUCUGCCUGAUGGCAUUUGGGUUUCCAUGUCUGAGAGAGCACGUGUAAGAUAGUACCAAUCCAAAGGCAUGGACAUCCAUGGGAGCAGCAAACUGCGAACACACUCAAUCACAAGUUGUUGGAUACAGCACAUCCUCAUCCCUAGAGCAGAUGAGAGAUUAGUGUGUUUGUUAACCUCAGUAUCUUUCCUGUUGAAUGAAAUGGGUGGAAAUCAGGUUUUCAACUUAACCAUCUUGGCUACAGGUUAUGAUGAAGAAAAAAAGACAGAGAGAGAAACUGUGGUGCUGUGGUAAUAACUGAAGUUUCUUUGGUAAACUGGGGAAACUGUUCUGGAUUUACAGUGACAAGACUAAGACAGAUAUCUCAUCAAAGAGCAAUUUUGUGAAGAAGAGAAAACUCACCAAGAGAAAACACUGGAGUGGACAUAUAUCUCUCAGAACAAUACCAGUCAUAAGCCUAAAGGAUUAAAAGACAUGAGCAAAAAUGGCAUAAUCUGGCUAGAGACAUGGGAGCUGGAAUCAGUGGCUUUAUUCAGCUACAUUACAGCACAGUUAGGGCCCAAAUUUUCACACUGACACUCUGUAUGCUGCAGCACAUUUCUAGCUGGACUAUGAAAACAAAAGAAGCCCUGAAAAAAGCUGAGGUUUGUAACAGAACUAUCUGAGUACCUUUCACCAGGGACUGGCUGCUGGGAUGCUCUGUAGCAGCAGCAGCAUUGGCGACUUCUCCAGCUUCCCGUCUUUGGACUAAGGAUGCAUAAUGACAUAUGACUGCAGCAGGGCUGGAAUGAUGCAGGGGAUGCGAUAACCCACUGCCCAGUCCCUCUGCUAUCCAGGCGGUGCAGGCUGCGCUGCGUGCACGCUGCAGUGCCAUCCCUGAGCUCUCACAAACAAUAAUCAGGUCUCUUACAGCCAGAAAAGCCCGCCAAGGCCAGCAGUGACAAAAUCACAGCAACACAAAAUAGAUUAAGCAUAUUUUUUAUCCUAUUUUUGAAAAUUUUCCUUUCCCCAUUUCUGACUCAUCUGCAGCCUGAGUAUUUUCAUCUUCCAGCCGGUUACAGAGAUCCUCUGGGAAAGGGAAUAGUUCCAUACACACAGCUUCUGCUUCUCUCUCCCCUGCAACAAAUAAAUAUCCUCAAGCUCUUCAAUUUACUUCAGAGUCAUCAAGCACAGUUUAAAAUUUAACCUGAUGGCAUUUUCCAGUCUCCUUGAAGUCUCUAUUCUUGUUGGAAAUAUUGGGAUGUUACCAACAGUGAUAGCCCUGCCAUUCUUCUUGCUGGAUGUCAAAAGCAGCUAGGACUUCAACUGUAAGCACAAAUGCUUUCGAAUCAUUCUGUGUUCCUGUGAACUUCAGACCUGGAAACCAGCUAUCAGACAGUCUGUAGCAAAACCCCAUUACCUUGUCCAACCUCACAUAGGUCUUAUAUGUCCCACUUCUGGUAAUGUGUGCAAAAUUGUGCUCAUGUUUCUUGGUCUCUUCUCUCCUCAUUUCAUAGCUGCUGACAGCUGUUUCCUCCUCAGCUAGUUAUCUGGAAAUUAAUCUGAAAGUGAAGACUUCUCAAGCCUUCCUCUACACAAUGUACCCACAAGGUCUCUGAAGACAAAUAGUGAUUCACUGUUCUUGCAAUGCUCUGAGGGUGACGUGGAAGGUGGGAAGUUUGCUGUUCAUAUUCUGAAAGCAUCAGGUGCUGUCUGCUAUCUGCAUGGGCCAGCAACCAUCAAACUAAGAUGGAGUGAAGAGUGUGUGAGCAUGGCUAAGUGGGGAAUGAAGGCAAUGCUCCUUUCAUCAAAGAAGGUCUAGCUGCUCGAAAGUUUUAGAAAAAGCUGCUGGAGAAUGAUAGCUAUGGAGACUUUAUUCUUGUUCCUUAGCAGAGACAACAGGGAUCGGUAAGGUUAAGUAUAAACCUCUGCAAAGUUAUUUUAGCAUACUGUACGGUCAAACUGUCAAUAGAAGAGCAUGUCUUGUGUAAAAUGGACUUAAUGCAUCACCUGUAUGGUGUGGAGGCAAUUUCAGCAAGCUCAGAAGUGGUUACCUCCCCUAGAGAGUGGACCGCUUUCUCUUUAGAGCUGUGGCCACUGCUGCAUGCAGGAGCAUGGUGGAGUGAGUCUUUUCCAAAUGACUGGAGCACUCUUGAAAAUAAAAGCUCAGACAGUUCUCCUUCAAGUGGCUUGUACAGAUUAGUUCUAGGAAAAAGCAAAUGGCUCAAACUGGCCUGCUCCUAAUGACUGGAUGGGUGAUGUGAGGAGAAACGAAGAAAAAGCUAGCAUUUAGCAGCAUCAUCCCAGUUUCAAGUGCUCAUAAAUACCUUUGGAGAUGCACUUCAGCAUCUUUCAGAGACAUUGUCAUCAUGCUUUCAGUGAAAUCUCUGAAACUCCAUCCCAGUCACCAAAAUAAUGUCACUUAGAAAGGAUAUGUUUUUAAAUAUUUCAACAGCUCAUGUGCAGUAUUUCUAAAGAUUAAUGACACAGAAGACACCAUUCAUUCUCUUUCUCUGUAAAUGAGUGAGUAAAUAGUAGUGAUCAUUAAAACAAAAUAUAAAAUAAACUAGAAGUGCAGAACACCA